rnacentral:rRNA from 1 species
UACGGAGGGGCUAGCGUUGUUCGGAAUUACUGGGCGUAAAGCGCGCGUAGGCGGACCUGCAAGUCGGGGGUGAAAGCCGAGGCUCAACCUCGGAACUGCCUUCGAUACUGCGGGUCUCGGAGUCCGGGAGAGGUGAAGUGGAAUUCCUAGUGUAGAAGGUGAAAUUCGUAGAUAUUAGGAAGAACACCAGUGGCGAAGGCGG